UAAUACGGAGGAUCCAAGCGUUAUCCGGAUUUAUUGGGUUUAAAGGGUGCGUAGGCGGAUCUUUAAGUCAGUGGUGAAAGUUUGCGGCUCAACCGUAAAAUUGCCAUUGAAACUGAAGAUCUUGAGUGCAAAUGAGGUAGGCGGAAUGUGUUGUGUAGCGGUGAAAUGCUUAGAUAUAACACAGAACCCCGAUUGCGAAGGCAGCUUACUGGGAUGCAACUGACGCUGAGGCACGAAAGCGUGGGGAUCAAACAGGAUUAGAUACCCUGGUAGUCCACGCAGUAAACGAUGAAUACUAGCUGUAUGCGAUAUACUGUAUGUGGCAAAGCGAAAGCGUUAAGUAUUCCACCUGGGGAGUACGUUCGCAAGAAUGAAACUCAAAGGAAUUGACGG
rnacentral:rRNA from 1 species